UGGAGAUGGAAAUGUAGUGAUAAAUAGAAGUCAUGAGUACUUUAUUCAAAUUCAAGGACAGCUGGCUAUCACCGGAAGAAAGAAGGCACAUCUUGUCAUAUGGACACCGAAGGAGUCAAUACUUGUGGUGAUUGUUGCAGAGGAUUUCAAAGAAAAUUUGAUAAUUUUAAAAAAAUUUUAUUUGGAGCACUAUGUUCCGUUCAUAUUAGGGGAAAAAUAUGUGAACCAAUAAAUACUACUUAAAAAAAUUAUUUCAAUUAUUAUUCCUCUGGUCUAUUGUCAAAUUGUUCGAUGACAACAAUGCUAAAGGUAUGGGAUUUCCUACACUGAUCGUAAAUCGAAGUUCACUUAAAUGAAAAGUGGGUACUUCGUAGUUUUUACCAUAUAAAAUCGAAAGAAAAUAUUGAAAUUUAUUAAAAAAAGGCAACAAUAAUAGAAAUAAAUAUUUAUUAGGAGCCCAUGAAAUUAU